rnacentral:lncRNA from 1 species
CACUUGUCUUUAUUUUUGUCAAGAGAAUAGUAUAACUUAUGAAAUUUGUGGCAGGGUUAGGUACUUAGGUGUAUAAUAAUGUUCCUUGUUAUUCAAAUUUCAAGCAGCCAAAGAAAUAAUUUUAAAUUUUAUCUUUUAUGGGAGAUAUCUUAUCUUUGUUCACGAGCCAAUUAAUUUCGUAUUUAUAGGUAUAAGAGAAAGAGAGAAAGGGAUAGACGUGGAGAAAUGGAAAAUUUAUGCCACGUCAAUCUCACGCAUUUGCAUCCCAUUUUUACGUUUUUGAUUAGCCAAAUGCCAACUUUUCUCUUCAAGUUGCUCAGUGUUCA